AGGGUGCAGGGCGGAUGCCUUGGCACUAGGAGCCGAUGAAGGACGUGAUAAGCUGCGAUAAGCUUCGGGGAGUUGCACGUAAACUUUGAUCCGAAGAUUUCCGAAUGAGGAAACUCACUUAGAGUAAUGUCUAAGUAUCAUUAAGUGAAUACAUAGCUUAAUGAGGGGAACUCAGGGAACUGAAACAUCUAAGUACCUGAAGGAAGAGAAAGAAAUUCGAUUCCGUAAGUAGCGGCGAGCGAACGCGGAUUAGCCCAAACCAAUAAAGUUUUCUUUAUUGGGGUUGCGGACAUAUCAUAACGAAGAGGUAUCGUAAUUGAAGAGGUUUGGAAAGACCCACCACAGAAGGUAAUAGUCCUGUAUGUUAAACGAGAAGACUUUAGAUAUGAUCCAGAGUACCACGGGACACGUGAAACCCUGUGGGAAGCAGGAGGGACCACCCUCCAAGGCUAAAUACUACCUAGUGACCGAUAGCGUAUAGUACCGUGAGGGAAAGGUGAAAAGAACCCCGGGAGGGGAGUGAAAUAGAACCUGAAACCCUGCACUUACAAGCUGUGGAAGCACAUUUCUUGUGUGACCGCGUACUUUUUGUAGAACGGGCCAACGAGUUACGUUAAGUAGCAAGGUUAAGCACUUAAGGUGCGGAGCCGUAGCGAAAGCGAGUUUUAACUGAGCGUUCAGUUACUUGACGUAGACCCGAAACCGGGCGACCUACCCAUGAGCAGGAUGAAGCGAAAGUAAAAUUUCGUGGAGGUCCGAACCCACGAGCGUUGAAAAGCUCGGGGAUGACUUGUGGGUAGCGGUGAAAUUCCAAUCGAGCCCGGAGAUAGCUGGUUCUCCCCGAAAUAGCUUUAGGGCUAGCCUCAAGGUGAGAGAUACGGAGGUAGAGCACUGAAUGUCCUAGGGGGUAUUGCACCUACCGAAGACUAUCAAACUCCGAAUGCCGUCAUCUUAUACUUGGGAGUCAGACUGUGGGUGAUAAGAUUCAUAGUCGAAAGGGCAACAGCCCAGAUCGUCAGCUAAGGUCCCUAAAUGUAAGUUAAGUGGUAAAGGAUGUGGGAUUGCACAGACAACCAGGAUGUUGGCUUAGAAGCAGCCACUCAUUCAAAGAGUGCGUAAUAGCUCACUGGUCGAGUGAUCCUGCGCCGAAGAUUUCCGGGGCUAAAACUUACUACCGAAGCUACGGCAUCAGUAAUGAUGGGUAGGGGAGCUUCCCAUACGGGUUGAAGCAUGACCGUAAGGACAUGUGGACAGUAUGGGAGUGAGAAUGUUGGCAUGAGUAGCGAGAUGUGGGUGAGAAUCCCACAGGCCGUAAACCCAAGGUUUCCAGGGGAAGGUUCGUCCGCCCUGGGUUAGUCGGGACCUAAGCUGAGGCCGAAAGGCGUAGGUGAUGGACAACAGGUUGAUAUUCCUGUACUACCGAUAACCGUUUGAGAGAAGGGAUGACACAGUAGGAUAAGCUAAGCACACUGUUGGUUAUGUGUGCCCAAGCAUUGAGGCAGUCAAAGUAGGCAAAUCCGCUUUGAUAAUGCUGGGAUGUGAUGGGGAGCGAAAUUUAGUAGCGAAGUAGCUGAUUUCACACUGUCAAGAAAAGUCUCUAUCGAGGUUAAAGGUACCCGUACCGCAAACCGACACAGGUGGGUGAGGAGAGUAUCCUAAGGCCAGCGAGAGAACUGUUGUUAAGGAACUCGGCAAAAUGACCCCGUAACUUAGGGAUAAGGGGUGCCACCAUCAGGUGGCCGCAGAGAAUAGGCCCAAGCGACUGUUUACCAAAAACAUAGGUUUCUGCUAAGUCGCAAGACGAUGUAUAGGAGCUGACGCCUGCCCGGUGCUGGAAGGUUAAGGGGAUCUGUUAGAGCAAUCGAAGCAGUGAACUUAAGCCCCAGUAAACGGCGGCCGUAACUAUAACGGUCCUAAGGUAGCGAAAUUCCUUGUCGGGUAAGUUCCGACCCGCACGAAAGGCGUAACGAUUUGGGCACUGUCUCAACAACAGACUCGGUGAAAUUGUAAUUCCGGUGAAGAUGCCGGAUACCUGCGACAGGACGGAAAGACCCCAUGGAGCUUUACUGUAGCUUGACAUUGGGUCUUGGUACUACAUGUACAGGAUAGGUGGGAGGCUUUGAAACCAGGACGCCAGUUUUGGCGGAGCCAUCCUUGGGAUACCACCCUUGUAGUACUGGGACUCUAACCAUAGGCCAUGAAUCUGGUCUUGGGACACUGUCAGGUGGGCAGUUUGACUGGGGCGGUCGCCUCCCAAAAGGUAACGGAGGCGCUCAAAGGUUCUCUCAGUACGGUCGGAAAUCGUACGUAGAGUGUAAAGGCAAAAGAGAGCUUGAUUGCAAGACAUACAGGUCGAGCAAGGAUGAAAAUCGGACUUAGUGAUCCGGUGGUUCUGCGUGGAAGGGCCAUCGCUCAACGGAUAAAAGCUACCCUGGGGAUAACAGGCUUAUCUCCCCCAAGAGUCCACAUCGACGGGGAGGUUUGGCACCUCGAUGUCGGCUCAUCACAUCCUGGGGCUGUAGUAGGUCCCAAGGGUUGGGCUGUUCGCCCAUUAAAGUGGUACGCGAGCUGGGUUCAGAACGUCGUGAGACAGUUCGGUCCCUAUCCGUCGCAGGCGUAGGAAAUUUGAGAAGACCUGUCCUUAGUACGAGAGGACCGGGGUGGACGUACCUCUGGUGUACCAGUUGUCCUGCCAAGGGCAUGGCUGGGUAGCUAUGUACGGAAUGGAUAAGCGCUGAAAGCAUCUAAGCGCGAAGCCAACUUCAAGAUAAGAUUUCCCACCGCAAGGGUAAGACCCCAGAAAGACUAUCUGGUUGA
rnacentral:rRNA from 1 species